rnacentral:lncRNA from 1 species
ACAAUUUCUGUUUCUGCUCCUUGUUUUAGUAUGUGGAAUGUGUUUGGAGAAUUGUUUAACAAUUUCUUACCCAAAUUGUUGUGGGGUGGCUGCUGGGUUGGUUCUGGUGAGGAUCCUUUGAGCCUGGGGGCCAAUCCAACCCACCUGGGGCUGGAAUCUCAGAGAGGGUCACGAGUUGUGAGGAGUCAGAUUUGGGAGUUAGGAAAAGCAGGUUUGUAGUUUUAGUGUCUCCUUUAAACAGUAUAUUAAUAGAAAAAAGCAGGUUUUUUUAGUGUCUCCUUUAAACAGUAUAUUAACAGAAAAAGCAGGUUUGCAGUUUUAGUGUCUCCUUUAAACAGUAUAUUAAUGUAUAUUAGUAUAGUUCGAAUAAAGAAACCAUUCAUCCUUCUGAGCUGGAGUCAGGCAUCGUCAUUUCUUCCCCCUGGCUCGCCUGCAUUUACAAUAAGCCGUAAAUUCUUUUUCUCUGGAAGAUUUCCGUGUCCUGCGACUGCCGUCCCGGUGCAAGUACCUCAUUACUUUCUUCCCACCCACAGUUUCUAUUUUAACCACAAAAGCUCAGUUUUAACCACAAAUCUACAUUUACCAUACCAAUAAAAUGUUAAUACAGCACUACUAAUCAAUGUAACAUAAUACAAACCCUAUUCCAUUUAAUACUUGCAAAAAGCCAACCAUAAAAUCUGCAUUUUUCCAUGAGGACAUCCCGAGGCUGCUGCAGGGACAGCAAUGUCACCGCUGUCAUGUCAUCGGGGACGGUGACAUCAUCAGGGACGUUGCUGCUGUCACUUCUCCCCUCUCCCCUCCCCACGCGGGAUUUGAGACGAAUUUGGGGAAUUUUCUGGGAAUUUUCAUUGCAAUUGUCCCAAAUGCUGAUGGGAAUUCUGGGGUGACGUCACUGGGGACACUUGGGGACAUUCUGAGGACGCUCUGGGGACACUGAUGGGGGUGGCGGUGGGGCAGGGGCUGAAUGAGCCUCCUCGGUGCCUUGCAGCAGAGCCGGGUUAUAAAUGACAAUAGAAUAAUCGGCUUUUGAAAUUCUGAAUUGCCUUCUGCACCUUGUUAUUGAUCACAAGGAUUUUGCUGUGGUACUUGAUAUUGAUAUUGAUUACUGAUAAUUCCUUGCAGCUGCUUGCUGGUACAAUAAAAUCGAUCUGUUUAUGUGUGCACAGUAUAACAAAUUUACUGCUAGAGUAAUAAAUAGAUAUUAUAUCAUAGGCCUUAAUAUAUUAAAAACAGAUAAAUAAAAAACAGAUCAGUAAUAAAUACUGAAAUAGAGACUAUGCAAUGUUAAAAUGCUUUUGUGUGACUGACUCAGGUGUAAAACAAUUCCGUUGUUUCUCACAUCUGCGGACCAGCCUCACCAGCUGAUACCAGUGACACAAAGCUCAGAAGAAUUUAUGAAUUUAUCAGGGGGUCUGAAACAACAGGGUGGAACCAGGAGAAGAAAUCAAAUAUAUCGACUUAAUCUACAGAAUGUCCUGCAGACAAGUCAGAGGUGAGACCCAAACACGAGUUCCUGGGACAUCCAAACCUCCCGGCAGUGUUUGAAUAAUGUCGAAACUCAGGAGUGUGUUCGUGGCCCUGCAGUGGAACCGGAUCCGGAGAACGAAGGGUUAAGUUGAGGGCGAGUUCUUUGGUCGAGCCCAAAACCCUUUUUUAUCCCUGAUUAAACUUUGUUUAGUAAUCCCUUAGUGAACUUUGUUUUUCACACCCGGCUGGGAUUUGGGGGGGCCGGGGGGUCCCUGGACAGCCCCCGCUGCUGAGCACUGACCCCCCC